rnacentral:rRNA from 1 species
GACCUGCGGAGGGAUCAUUGCUGG